rnacentral:rRNA from 1 species
GACGAACGCUGGCGGCGUGCUUAACACAUGCAAGUCGAGCGGUAAGGCCCUUUCGGGGUACACGAGCGGCGAACGGGUAGAGUAACACGUGGGUGACCUGCCCUCAGCUCUGGGAUAAGCCUGGGAAACUGGGUCUAAUACUGGAUAUGACUCCACGGUGCAUGUCGUGGGGUGGAAAGCCUUGUGCGGCUGAGGAUGGGCCCGCGGCCUAUCAGCUUGUUGGUGGGGUGAUGGCCUACCAAGGCGACGACGGGUAGCCGGCCUGAGAGGGCGACCGGCCACACUGGGACUGAGACACGGCCCAGACUCCUACGGGAGGCAGCAGUGGGGAAUCUUGCGCAAUGGGCGAAAGUCUGAC